GUGCUUGCUCCAGCAGCACAUAUACUAAAAUCGGAACAACUCAGAGGAGAUGGCAUAGUCUCUGUGCAAGGGUGGCACACAAAUUCGUGAAGCGUUCCAUAUUUUU